AACUACUGUAACUCAUAUCUAUAAUUAUUUCUCACAUCCUCUCUCUCCCUCUCUCUCGCUUUUUUUUAUGCCUUUAUCUGCCUUCAAACAAGCCAAUGAUCUUGAUCAAGCAACUGUUUCAGUGGAUUAAAUCCAAUAAAUUCUUAAACCUCAGUUUCAGUGGAUUAAAUCCAAAUAAAUGAGAGAAGCUAAACCAUUCAU
rnacentral:lncRNA from 1 species